rfam:Hordeum vulgare subsp. vulgare, WGS project CAJW01000000 data, contig: morex_contig_47017
CUUAUACUCCCUCCGUCCGAAAACACUUGUCCUAGAAAUGGAUAUAAUGGAUGUAUCUAUAAUUAAAAUAAGUCUAGAUACAUUCAUCUUUAGGACAAGUAUUUCCGGACGGAGGGAGUAUUUG